AAAUCACAACUCCUGUUUAACAUUAACUCUGUAAGUUCACUGCCAUCUUUUUUUUUUUUUUUUGCAGUUUGUCGAAUUUCUCUUCAUAGCCAUCAAUGUCUGAAGAAGUACUGAUGCAGAUCUAAAAUUCCAGGACUCCAGUAAGACAGAAAACAUCUGGGAGUUUGACAAAUUGGAGAUAAAUGCGCCUCCUGCUCCUUCCCAGGUAUGGCGUCAAAGGGCCUUGGCUCUGACUCUUCUGUGCCUUCUGCUGGUGAUUGGACUGGGAGUCUCAGGAAGCAUGUGAAUUUAUAAAAUUCCAGAGGUUAUAUAAAUAUUGGCUGGAAUGAUCUCCCAGAAAUAAUUACAUAGCCUACAACAUCUUGGAUGAGAUAAUUAUCUCCUCCGACUGGUGGUAAUGAUAUCGAACCUGAAGUGAGUUCACUCACCCAUUGUGUAGCAAGUCAACUUCUGACACCAGGGAAUCUCAGAUUGAACUUUAAGGGACUCUCAAGGCCAGGAAAGCCAAGCCAAGGACUUGUCAUCAGACUCUGCCUGCAAUGUCUACAGAUUUGGGUGAAUUCUUCUCUUUUCAAGGUCACCAAAAUGUCCUGAGGUUCUUGCACCUGCCAGGGAAGUGACCUGCUUUACUCACCUGGUUGAUCAUUCGACUUAGUCCCUGCCUGCACAGAUCACCCACAACAGCAGAUUUGGAGAAGUUCAGUGUGACAUAGGCAGCACACAGAGUGACUGAAUAGUGCUUUAUCUGUUCAGUAAUGCCCAAAGAAGUGACCUAUGCUACUCUCAAAUUUCCAAAUGCUUCUCAGACAAAGAAACUCCAGGACAGCUACAGUCUCAAGA